AAAACCCUGCGUAGUGCGUGUAGACAGAAUUUUUAGAACCUACAAGUUUAAAGAGGGACCUUAAAUCUUUGAAUAUGGCGUGCAAGCUUACACUUUAGCAUUUGUAAAAUUACAUUUCGAGUAGUAAGAAGCCCAUGAGUAUUCAAGAAGGAACCCACCUGUCGAAGACAGGUCCUUAAAAAUUCAAUCAACUUACGGCUAAUGUGGGGAUUGC
rfam:Clostridium sp. CAG:269 genomic scaffold, scf79